UACGUAGGUGGCAAGCGUUGUCCGGAAUUACUGGGUGUAAAGGGAGCGUAGGCGGGAAUGCAAGUUGAAUGUGAAAUUUACGGGCUCAACUCGUAAACUGCGUUCAAAACUGUGUUUCUUGAGUUAAGUAGAGGCAGGCGGAAUUCCCUGUGUAGCGGUGAAAUGCGCAGAUAUGGGGAGGAACACCAGUGGCGAAGGCGGCCUGCUGGGCUUUUACUGACGCUGAGGCUCGAAAGCGUGGGUAGCAAACAGG
rnacentral:rRNA from 1 species